AUUGAACGCUGGCGGCAUGCUUUACACAUGCAAGUCGAACGGUAACAGGCCGCCAGGUGCUGACGAGUGGCGAACGGGCGAGUAAUGCAUCGGAACGUGCCCAGUCGUGGGGGAUAACUACUCGAAAGAGUAGCUAAUACCGCAUACGAUCUAUGGAUGAAAGCGGGGGACCGGAAUGCCUCGCGUGGUUGGAGCGGGCGAUGUCGGAUUAGGUAGUUGGUGGGGUAAAGGCUCACCAAGCCAACGAUCUGUACCUGGUCUGAGAGGACAACCGGCCACACUGGGACUGAGACACGGCCCAGACUCCUACGGGAGGCAGCAGUGGGGAAUUUUGGACAAUGGGCGCAAGCCUGAUCCAGCAAUGCCGCGUGCAGGAAGAAGGCCUUCGGGUUGUAAACUGCUUUUGUACGGAACGAAACGGCUCUGGUUAAUACCCGGGGCUAAUGACGGUACCGGAAGAAUAAGCACCGGCUAACUACGUG
rnacentral:rRNA from 1 species